rnacentral:rRNA from 1 species
UACAGAGGUCUCAAGCGUUGUUCGGAUUCAUUGGGCGUAAAGGGUGUCGUAGGCGGCGCCGGUAAGUCGGGUGUGAAAUUCGAGGCUUAACUCCGAAACUGCAUUCGAUACUGCCGGUGCUUGAGGACUGGAGAGGAGACUGGAAUUCAUGGUGUAGCAGUGAAAUGCGUAGAGAUCAUGAGGAAGACCAGUGGCGAAGGCGGGUCUCUGGACAGUUCCUGACACUGAGACACGAAGGCCAGGGGAGCAAACGGG